rnacentral:rRNA from 1 species
AGUUUGAUCUGAAAGCUCCAGAUUGAACGCUGGCGGGAUGCUUUACACAUGCAAGUCGAACGCAGCACGGACUUCGGUCUGGUGGCGAGUGGCGAACGGGUGAGUAAUGUAUCGGAACGUGCCUAGUAGCGGGGGAUAACUACGCGAAAGCGUAGCUAAACUUUGCUCGCCCUUAGGAGGGAAAGCAGGGGACCUUCGGGCCUCGCACUAUUAGAACGGCCGAUAUCGGAUGGCUAGUUGGUGGGGUAACGGCUCACCAAGGCGACGAUCCGUAGCUGGUUUGAGAGGACAGCCAGCCACUGGGACUGAGACACGGCCCAAGGGCUCUGCGGGAGGCAGCAGUGGGGAAUUUUGGACAAUGGGGGAAACCCUGAUCCAGCCAUCCCGCGUGUGCGAUGAGGCCUUCGGGUUGUAAAGCACUUUUUUGGCAGGAAAGAAACGGCACGGGAUAAUACCCCGUGCAACUGACGGUACCUGCAGAAUAAGCGCAGCUAACUACGUGCCAGCAGCCGCGGUAAUACGUAGGGUGCAAGCGUUAAUCAGGUACUGGGCGUAAAGCGUGCGCAGGCGGUUCGGAAAGAAGAUGUGAAAUCCCAGAGCUUAACUUUGGAACUGCAUUUUUAACUACCGAGCUAGAGUGUGUCAGAGGGAGGUGGAAUUCCGCGUGUAGCAGUGAAAUGCGUAGAUAUGCGGAGGAACACCGAUGGCGAAGGCAACCUCCUGGGACAACACUGACGCUCAUGCACGAAAGCGUGGGGAGCAAACAGGAUUAGAUACCCUGGUAGUCCACGCCCUAAACGAUGUCAACUAGCUGUUGGGGCCGUCGGGCCUUGGUAGCGCAGCUAACGCGUGAAGUUGACCGCCUGGGGAGUACGGUCGCAAGAUUAAAACUCAAAGGAAUUGACGGGGACCCGCACAAGCGGUGGAUGAUGUGGAUUAAUUCGAUGCAACGCGAAAAACUGCCUACCCUUGACAUGUCUGGAAUCCCGAAGAGAUUUGGGAGUGCUCGCAAGAGAACCGGAACACAGGUGCUGCAUGGCUGUCGUCAGCUCGUGUCGCGUGAGAUGUUGGGUUAAGUCCCGCAACGAGCGCAACCCUUGUCAUUAGUUGCUACGAAGGGCACUCUAAUGAGACUGCCGGUGGCAAACCGGAGGAAGGUGGGGAUGACGUCAAGUCCUCAUGGCCCUUAUGGAGGUAGGGCUUCACCACGUCAUACAAUGGUCGGGACAGAGGUCGCCAACCCACGAGGGGAGCCAAUCCCAGAAACCCGAUCGUAGUCCGGAUCACCAGUCUGCAACUCGACUGCGUGAAGUCGGAAUCGCUAGUAAUCGCGGAUCAGCAUGUCGCGGUGACCAAUUCCCGGGUCUUGUACACACCGCCCGUCACCAUGGGAGUGGGUUUGCAAGAAGUAGUUAGCCUAACCGUAAAGGAGGGCGAUUACCACGGUAGGAUUCAUGACUGGGGUGAAGUCGUAACUAAGGUAG